UAUGUACUCCCUCCGUCCAAAAAGCUUGUCCCUCAAAUGAAUGUAUCUAGCACCAAGUUAGUGCUACAUACAUCCAUUUAAGGAACAAGCUUGGGACAAACUUUUCCGGACGGAGAGAGUAUUAU
rnacentral:pre_miRNA from 1 species